rnacentral:rRNA from 1 species
CCAGACUCCUACGGGAGGCAGCAGUGGGGGAUAUUGCACAAUGGGGGGAACCCUGAUGCAGCGACGCCGCGUGGGUGAAGGAGUGCUUCGGCAUGUAAAGCCCUAUCGGCAGGGAAGAAGCAAGACGGUACCUGACUAAGAAGCCCCGGCUAACUACGUGCCAGCAGCCGCGGUAAUCAGUAGGGGGCGAGCGUUAAUCGGAAUUACUGGGCGUAAAGCGCUCGUAGGCGGUAUGUCAAGUCAAGGGUGAAAUCCCCGCGCUCAACGUGGGAACUGCCUUUGAAACUGGCAAACUGGAGUGUGUGAGAGGAUAGUGGAAUUCCAGGUGUAGGAGUGAAAUCCGUAGAUAUCUGGAGGAACAUCAGUGGCGAAGGCGACUUACUGGACUGUAACUGACGUUGAGGCUCGAAAGCGUGGGGAGCAAACAGGAUUAGAUACCCGCGUACAU